UUGACCUCAAAUCAGGUAGGAGUACCCGCUGAACUUAAGCAUAUCAAUAAGCGGAGGAAAAGAAACCAACCGGGAUUGCCUUAGUAACGGCGAGUGAAGCGGCAAAAGCUCAAAUUUGAAAUCUGGUACCUUCGGUGCCCGAGUUGUAAUUUGGAGAGGGCAACUUUGGGGCCGUUCCUUGUCUAU
rnacentral:rRNA from 1 species